rnacentral:rRNA from 1 species
GAUGAACGCUGGCGGCGUGCUUAACACAUGCAAGUCGAACGGAGUACCCUUGAAGGAGUUUUUGGACAACUGAAAGGACUACUUAGUGGCGGACGGGUGAGUAACGCGUGAGUAACCUGCCUUGGAGUGGGGAAUAACAGCUGGAAACAGCUGCUAAUACCGCAUGAUGCAGUUGGGUCGCAUGGCUCUGACUGCCAAAGAUUUAUCGCUCUGAGAUGGACUCGCGUCUGAUUAGCUGGUUGGCGGGGUAACGGCCCACCAAGGCGACGAUCAGUAGCCGGACUGAGAGGUUGGCCGGCCACAUUGGGACUGAGACACGGCCCAG